rnacentral:lncRNA from 1 species
GCCCAUGUACGAGAAAUUUCUCUAAAUGAAAGGUAAAGAAGAACAAGUGUAUUUAACUUGUUACACUUGCAAACUAGAAGACAACAUCAUAUUUCAAAACCCCACAUUGCAUUAUUUCAAUAAAAAUUAACAUUGUUGACUGAGAGAGGAAUGGUGAAUUGAAAAUUCUCCAUAAUUUCCAUUGUUGGUGCUCUUGAAGAUUUUUUUAAAAGGCCGAACAAUUGAGUUUAGCAUGUCCUUGAAAUGUAUUUGUUUUAUGAACCAAUGCAACUUGGUUCAAG